CAUAUCUUUUCCGGAAUGGGUCCAAUUUUGUUUGAACCCUUAAGUUAUUCAGGAACAAGAAUUUGUUUAAAUUAUUGUUGGCAGUCGAAGUAUCCAAUGAAGUCCAGUACAUGAGAUAAAAAGGAAAACUUCGUUUAUCAAAAGCAAGUACAGAAGUAAAUAAUGGGGGUAAGAAGACAUGGGGGAGCGCCCCACCCUUAAAACCAUCUUAACGGACAUAUAGGGCGAUAACGACAAAUAGGUCUCAAAUGGAAGAUAUUGGAGAUUAUUGGUAUAUAGGAGCAAGGUAUACAUGCGAGUCCACCCACGGCACAAAAAGACCUCCAAAAAAAGUAUGGGCUGAUCAACCCCGUGUGAAAGUAGAUUACAAUUUCGCUGAACUAAUUAAAUAAUGUGAAUCCGCAACGGAAGCAUAGGGGCAGCAAUAUCCCCCAAAACACCCACAAUAUGGAUAUAUUUACCAAUUAUGGCUAGUCCAAACGGCAGACGUGGUACGUAGCUUUGGGUAAGAGCCCAAGUUGUAAGGAAAGUAGCUAAUGGUACUAAAGAUCUGGUUAUACUCUCGUGAGCAUACCGUAAAUGUAGAAAAACCUGUCAGCUGUUUAGUUUUGGCUUAUGAAUACACAUACAAAUGAUUACCUAACGUCUGUCGACCGUAACCGGCAAGUAGAAUUCGUUGGCUCCUGUCUGUAAUGUGUCUCCACCUAAGUGCUGGUCUCUGUUAGACGCGAAAGCCGCGCAAUGACAAAGGAAAUGCUCCAACGUCUCAUCAUUUUUCCCGCAUGCCCUACACACGUUAUCACUUGCCGCACCGAUUUUACAAAUAGCCUCGUCUUGUCACGAUCUGGAUCCCCCCAUAGGAUCUUCGCCGUCCUACUGACCGUUUCACUGUUCCACAAUGUUGCAUGCGCAUUCGUCGCCCACUCCCUUAACUUCGAUUGCGUCGACUCGAAAGGCUUCGGGUUAACCAAGUUUAUUGACGGCUGUCCUCUGGCCUUCACCGCCAAGGACGUUAAUCUCCUUCUUCUACUGCAAGACUGUUCGUGACCUUACCGUCCUGAUCUGCAAAAAAAUUAAAGAGAAAGACAAAAUAAAAAAAAAAUAAUUUUGGCAAAGUACAAACUAUUUAAUAACUAUGAAUCUAGAAAGCUGAUAGUUUUGCAGUCUUUUAACGCCUUGUAGCAGAGGAUAUUAGGUAAUUGCGGA